CGAAGUCGGUGAGGUAACCGCAAGGAGCCAGCCGCCGAAGGUGGGGUAGAUGAUUGGGGUGAAGUCGUAACAAGGUAGCCGUAUCGGAAGGUGCGGCUGGAUCACCUCCUUU
rnacentral:rRNA from 1 species